rnacentral:rRNA from 1 species
UACGUAGGGGGCGAGCGUUGUCCGGAUUUAUUGGGCGUAAAAGGCUUGUAGGUGGCCACGUCAAGUCGGAUGUGAAAUCUCCCGGCUCAACUGGGAGGGGUCAUUCGAUACUGGCGGGCUCGAGGCCGGUAGGGGUAGCGGAAUUCCCGGUGUAGUGGUGGAAUGCGCAGAUAUCAGGAGGAACACCGGUGGCGAAGGCGGAUCUCUGGGCCUGUCCUGACGCUGAGGCGCGAAAGCUAGGGGAGCAAACGGG